rnacentral:rRNA from 1 species
AAUUUCCUAGGGGGCGUCAAAGCCUACCGAAGACUAUCAAACUCCGAAUGCCGUUUUCUUUUACUUGGGAGUCAGACUGUGGGUGAUAAGAUUCAUAGUCAAAAGGGCAACAGCCCAGAUCGUCAGCUAAGGUCCCUAAAUGUACGUUAAGUGGUAAAGGAUGUGGGAUUGCACAGACAACCAGGAUGUUGGCUUAGAAGCAGCCACUCAUUUAAAGAGUGCGUAAUAGCUCACUGGUCGAGUGAUCCUGCGCCGAAAAUUUCCGGGGCUAAAACGUACUACCGAAGCUACGGCAUCAUUUAUGAUGGGUAGGGGAGCUUCGUAUGCAGGCUGAAGCAUGACCGUAAGGACAUGUGGACAGUAUACGAGUGAGAAUGUUGGCAUGAGUAGCGAGACGUGGGUGAGAAUCCCACGGGCCGUAAACCCAAGGUUUCCAGGGGAAGGUUCGUCCGCCCUGGGUUAGUCGGGACCUAAGCCGAGGCCGAAAGGCGUAGGUGAUGGACAACAGGUUGAUAUUCCUGUACCGCCAAUAAGCGUUUGAGAGAUGGAGUGACACAGUAGGAUAAGCUAACCGUACUGUUGGUUAUGUACGGCUAAGCAUUGAGGCAGUCUAAAUAGGCAAAUCCGUUUAGACAAUGCUAGGAUGUGAUGGGGAAGCCCUUCGGGGCGAAGUAGCUGAUUUCACACUGUCAAGAAAAGCUUCUAUCGAGUUUAAAGGCGCCCGUACCGUAAACCGACACAGGUGGGUGAGGAGAGUAUCCUAAGGCCAGCGAGAGAACUAUUGUUAAGGAACUCGGCAAAAUGACCCCGUAACUUAGGGAGAAGGGGUGCCUGUCUAUGACAGGCCGCAGAGAAUAGGCCCAAGCGACUGUUUACCAAAAACACAGGUUUCUGCUAAGUCGCAAGACGAUGUAUAGGAGCUGACGCCUGCCCGGUGCUGGAAGGUUAAGGGGAUCUGUUAGAGCAAUCGAAGCAGUGAACUUAAGCCCCAGUAAACGGCGGCCGUAACUAUAACGGUCCUAAGGUAGCGAAAUUCCUUGUCGGGUAAGUUCCGACCCGCACGAAAGGCGUAACGAUUUGGGCACUGUCUCAACAAUAGACUCGGUGAAAUUGUAAUCCCGGUGAAGAUGCCGGGUACCUGCGACAGGACGGAAAGACCCCAUGGAGCUUUACUGUAGCUUGACGUUGGGUCUUGGUACUACAUGUACAGGAUAGGUGGGAGACUAUGAAGCAUGGACGCCAGUCUGUGUGGAGUCAUCCUUGGGAUACCACCCUUGUAGUACUGGGAUCCUAACCAUAGGCCUUGAAUCAGGUCUUGGAACACCGUCAGGUGGGCAGUUUGACUGGGGCGGUCGCCUCCUAAAAAGUAACGGAGGCGCUCAAAGGUUUCCUCAGCACGGUCGGAAAUCGUGCGAAGAGUGUAAAGGCAAAAGGAAGCUUGAUUGCAAGACAUACAGGUCGAGCAAGGACGAAAGUCGGACUUAGUGAUCCGGUGGUACCGCAUGGAAGGGCCAUCGCUCAACGGAUAAAAGCUACCCUGGGGAUAACAGGCUUAUCUCCCCCAAGAGUCCACAUCGACGGGGAGGUUUGGCACCUCGAUGUCGGCUCAUCACAUCCUGGGGCUGAAUUCGGUCCCAAGGGUUCGGCUGUUCGCCGAUUAAAGUGGUACGCGAGCUGGGUUCAGAACGUCGUGAGACAGUUCGGUCCCUAUCCGUCGCAGGCGUAGGAAAUUUGAGAAGACCUGUCCUUAGUACGAGAGGACCGGGAUGGACGUACCUCUGGUGUACCAGUUGUUCUGCCAAGGGCAUGGCUGGGUAGCUAUGUACGGAAUGGAUAAGCGCUGAAAGCAUCUAAGCGCGAAGCCAACUUCAAGAUAAGAUUUCCCACCGUAAGGGUAAGACCCCAGGAAGACUACCUGGUUGAUAGGUCGAAGGUGUAAGUGCAGUAAUGUAUUUAGCUUAUCGAUACUAAUAGGUCGAGGACUUGACCAA